GUUAGAGUUUGAAUCCUGGCUCAGGACGAACGCUGGCGGCGUGCCUAAUACAUGCAAGUCGAGCGAACCAAUAAGAAGCUUGCUUUUUGUUGGUUAGCGGCGGACGGGUGAGUAACACGUGGGUAACCUGCCUGUAAGAUCGGGAUAACUCCGGGAAACCGGUGCUAAUACCGGAUAGAUUAUCUUUCCGCCUGGAGAGAUAAGGAAAGAUGGCUUUUGUCAUCACUUACAGAUGGGCCCGCGGCGCAUUAGCUAGUUGGUGAGGUAACGGCUCACCAAGGCGACGAUGCGUAGCCGACCUGAGAGGGUGAUCGGCCACACUGGGACUGAGACACGGCCCAGACUCCUACGGGAGGCAGCA
rnacentral:rRNA from 1 species